GCUCUGAUGGUGGAAUUUAGAAUACACGACUGGCUUAAGACCAGUUACCGGAAUGGUUUGCAGGUGCAAGUCCUGCUCAGAGUA
rnacentral:tRNA from 1 species